rnacentral:rRNA from 1 species
AGACGACGCUGGCGGCGUGGAUUAGGCAUGCAAGUCGAACGGUAUCAUCCUUUCGGGGGUGAGAGAGUGGCGAACUGGUGAGUAACACGUAGGUUAUCUACCCUCAAGACGGGGGACAACCCAGGGAAACUUGGGCUAAUACCGGAUGUGAGCAACUUUUAGUGUUUGAAAGGUGGCGUAAGCUGUCGCUUGGGGAUGAGCCUGCGUCCUAUUAGUUAGUUGGUGAGGUAACGGCUCACCUAGGCAAUGAUAGGUAGGCGGCCUUAACGGGUGGUCGCCCACACUGGGAUUGAGAUACGGCCCAGACUCCUACGGGAGGCAGCAGUCGAGAAUAGUCUACAAUGGUCGGAAGACUGAUAGUGCGACGCCGCGUGAACGAUGAAUCCCUUCGGGGUGUAAAGUUCUUUUAUAUGUGAGCAGUGCUUCUUAUAUUAACAGUAUGGGGAGAGAGAUAUUAGCAUAUGAAUAAGCAACGGCUAACUCCGUG